AUGCCAACACAGAGUAUGUAUGCAUGCAUGGAAACAGAAGGAAGCAAGUGCUGCAAAGAAACCUCAAGAGACUACAAGGAGCCAUUGCGUACCUCCCCAUCUGCCGCUUCUCGCGCUUCGUCUUCCGUCGCCAUUGCUCCAGAUCAGGAUGGGAAGAAGGAAAGAAAGAGAAAAAAAAAGAAAGAAACAAAGAAAGAAUGGGAGGGAGAGAGGGGGAGACAGAGGCCUCUUAACAUAAAAGUCUUGUGGGUGCUUGAAAAGCUGGUGGUCUUUAUACCGACCUUUCCUCUGUCAGACGUGUUUUCUAUUGCCGAGCAGCGGUUAGGAAAGCAGCGACAGACUGACAGUGCUCUUGACAGUGAGUUGGUACUCGCUUAA
rnacentral:rRNA from 1 species